UUUCCGUAGGUGAACCUGCGGAAGGAUCAUUAUUGAAAUAAACCUGAUGGGUUGUUGCUGGUUCUCUAGGGAGCAUGUGCACGCCUUGUCAUCUUUAUAUCUCCACCUGUGCACUUUUUGUAGACCUUUCAGGUCUAUGUUUGCUCAUUUUACCCCAAUGUAUGUCAAUAGAAUGUCGUGCCUUUAUAAUGUAUACAACUUUCAGCAACGGAUCUCUUGGCUCUC
rnacentral:misc_RNA from 1 species